rnacentral:rRNA from 1 species
GACGAACGCUGGCGGCGUGCCUAAUACAUGCAAGUAGAACGCUGAAGGAGGAGCUUGCUUCUCUGGAUGAGUUGCGAACGGGUGAGUAACGCGUAGGUAACCUGCCUGUUAGCGGGGGAUAACUAUUGGAAACGAUAGCUAAUACCGCAUAAGAGUAGAUGUUGCAUGACAUUUGCUUAAAAGGUGCAAUUGCAUCACUACCAGAUGGACCUGCGUUGUAUUAGCUAGUUGGUGGGGUAACGGCUCACCAAGGCGACGAUACAUAGCCGACCUGAGAGGGGGGUCGGCCACACUGGGACUGAGACACGGCCCAGACUCCUAAGGGAGGCAGCAGUAGGGAAUCUUCGGCAAUAGACGGAAGUCUGACCGAGCAACGCCGCGUGAGUGAAGAAGGUUUUCGGGUCGUAAAGCUCUGUUGUAAGAGAAGAACGAGUGUGAGAGUGGAAAGUUCACACUGUGACGGUAUCUUACCAGAAAGGGACGGCUAACUACGUG